GUUCCGGCAGCCGGGGCGCCCUCUGCCUCCUCAACCUCCAGGCUGCCUGAGCUGCUGCUCCUCCGCGACCCGCAGCUCACGGAGAGGGGAUUCCUGGGGUGCAGCGCAGGAUUUGCCCUUUCAGUGCUUGCCCCAGGCCUCUCCUGGCCGCCAUCCUCGAGGGCUGUGGCGACUUCCGAUCCGCCUAGGCUCGAGAGGGGCCUUGUGCUGUUGCACUGAAGCCGGGACAUUCCUCCACAGGAAGUGUGGUCUGUGGUCCAACAUCAACAACUUCUGGCAUCUUUCCAGUCAACUUCCUCACUCUCUCUCCUUCCCAGAGAGAAUCAUAUUCUCAUUAGUCUUCCAAGGAUGAAGACAUCCUUGGAAUGAGCCCUCACCUCAAAUUGGCCAGAGUUGUUACUGGACUUGGAGCCAUGCCUCUGGAAGGUUCCUUACCUUGUCACGCUGAGACUCUGAUGAAUUACUGAAACAGGGAAGAAGUUCCAUAAAGUUACCAGACUCUCAAAGAUGUCCUCCAUGCAGGAAGGUUACAAGGCCAAUAUGUGAUAGACAAUCUCAGUCAAUAUCCUAGAAAAAGGACAAAGACCAACUG
rnacentral:lncRNA from 1 species